ACAUAUACGCGUGAAAGUUCUUCAACCGUGCUUCGAGAGUCUCGAUUUUCGCCUUGCAAAAUGUAUCUCCGCGACGCACAAUUCGCGCGUUCCUUAAUGCUGCUACAUCGCGUUGUGAAAUCUUCGAUUUCUCGCAAGUUUACAGAAAGGAGAGGAUUGUAGAAAGCAUCUGGUAGUCCCGACAAUGCUGGUAACUUACAGCAAGAAGAUUUAAAGAGCUCAGCGGACAGAUAUAUGGCGAAAUUACUAUCUCGCGGUCGCUCAUCUUUGAAUAAAUCGCGAGUCCCUUAAAUCCAAUAGCGCAAACGCCAAACUGAGAAUUCCCAGAUAAUAUCUACUCGGUAGUCGACGGUAAGACACCCGCCCGAAGAGUAGGGAGAUCCUGGUUGAGCUGCGCUUCAAGACGGACAAAUAUUCGACGCGUAAUUUACCUGAACUGGAAAUUGUAAAGAUUCACACAAUUAUUAUCAAGCACAAGAUUCACUUCAGACCGCAUAUGGCAUUUAUAAAAAUGUAUCAUUAUUUACAAGUCAAUAUAGAAAAAUCACGGAUUCCCAUACGAUAUAUAUGCAGAUUCGGCCAAACAUAUAUGAAUAUUGCAUUGAACGAACAAGCUGAUAUCAAAUCAGCUAAGAGGACGACAGACGGAUCAAAUUCAAUAGACGGAUCAAAUGCGACAGACUUAAUAACGAUGACAAGAGAACUUUUAUCGCUGCUGCAGAGAUAUGUGCAUAUCCCUUUGAGUACUUCAACUUACGAUGUCGUAUUGCACUAAUAUGAAUUAUAGUAACAAAAAGAUUAGCACAAAUAUCGAAUGGAAGUGCAUUUAAUUUCAAAAAUUUCUAAACGUUGAGUGAUUUUACUUCUCAAUAUAACUUAGAAUGUAAAAUUUAAUUAAAUUGAAUUGAGUUUUUAAAUUAUUUACAGUUUAACGAUAAUGCACAAUAAAAAAAUGUUUAUUGUAUUACUGUUUUUCGAAACUACAUUAAAAUCAGAGAUUACAAAUAAAA